CUUCCAUACCAGAGAAGCAGAGACACAGAGAGACUAUAAAAUAGAGGGAUCAGUCUGGGAUCCUAACCCUCCGUCCCUCACUCUUCCUCGAUCUGGAAUCUAAAUCUCAUUCUCUGACUGACAGGUGCACACCAGAUGGGCUGCGGAAACUCAACAGCCACCACCACCUCUAGUGGGGGUCCCGCUGGAGCUGCGAACGAGGAGGAAGAAAGGACAGAAGAGUCCAUGUCAGAUGAUGAAAAAAAAAGGAAUUACGGCGGGGUAUAUGUGGGGCUGCCAGCGGACCCUGCCACAGUAGCUGCCAGCCAAGCCAAGUCAAGUGGGACAGACUAGAAGACAAUAAAGAAUAAACAGAAGUACUCAACAUGAAAAGACCUCGUCCAAUGAGAAUCCUGCUCUCCUGAGUGUUCCAAGUCCACUGGAGAUAUUCCAACCGCGACGGUAUCCCUGCAGUCAGAUCCACCUCCAGCAGGGGGUGCUGAGACAGACAGAACAUACACAACUGUAACAAACCAUCAGGGCUCUCAUAGGCAGAUUUAAAAACGUGAACACGACACAGAAACCAGAAGCCAUGCGUUCGAGUGCUUCAGUAGUUGAUAGUUAUGAAAAGAAACUGCAGAGUUUCAUUGAAUUCCCAGGAGUAACUUUAAAGGCUUUAAUGAUCACCAAUUAUUAUAAUAGUUACUAAACCAUUAGCAGUAAAUAUGCAGCAGUGUAUUGAUAAAUGUGUUAUAAAGGAUGUUAGAAAUUCAUAUUAACAUUGAUAAUUACUGCAUAACAGACCAAAGCAAUACAUGGUUAUAAGAACAUCUAACUGAGGCAUUUUAAAGGAAACCAUGUCCUUGCUUUAUGACACAAAGCUUUACUCUAGUAAUGUGUUCUUCACAUGUUAUUACGUCAUCAAAACAUGUAAUAACAUGACAAGACAUUUUAGAAAUGGAUUCUUAAACUAGCACAUAAUCAAGGUUAUCUAUUCAUUCAGUUUAUUAUCCCAGACCUGGCUUAAACAUCUAUUACUCAGGAACCAGGUCAUUACUGUAUUAAUUACUGUUUAACUCCUAUUGGUUAUUGCUUGGGUAAUAUAAAGCUUGAUCACAAUGUUAUUCUAUCUCUGAAUCCACAUUGCUAUGGAGCGAAGCACAUCGCAAACAAGCUUGACACAAACUUGAAGUUUCAGGUUAGUGGUGUUGUGGUCUUUGGACACUCAUUUAUUCACCAAACGCAUAGGAAAAAAGCCAACUAUUAACAUUUUGUUUAUUCUCAAGAUGUUACAACUCUGAGGUAGUGUUUAAGACAGAUAUGUUUAGAAUACUUAUUUCUGGGGCACGGGGGGGGAAAUGGAGGUUAGGGUCAUGACAUCAAUCCUGCCUAUUAAAUCCAGCACCAUGACAAUUCAUGCCAUGCUUACUGAGCUGCUUCAUAUCGGACGGGACACUACACAUCCAUCAAGAACAUUUUUUUUUUUUAUUGUAAUAUCGUAAAGAGCAAAGUUUUUUUUUCUAACUUUGCUAAUAGUGUCAUUCUAUAUCUGUGAAACGUCUUGAGGCAGAGGGCUUUCCUGCAGGAUCUGCAUUAAGAACCAAAAAUAGAAAUCCUUCCCGCAUCUCACUUCAUGAGAGUAAACAUCUCUAAUUCCAUAUCAUUAAUACUGAGUAUGCAAUGAGGGGGCUUUUAUAUUGCAGUCUGUUUUAAGGAUAUGAAGUAGUCAUUCUUCCUGCAUCCCACUUAUUGAGAGUAAAUAUCUCUAAUUCCAUAUCAUUAAUACUGAGUACGGAGGCGCCUGGAUUGUACUAAUAUUUGGUGAAUAAUGUGCUCUACAAAAUAGUUGCUUAGUGUAACACUAUUGCCUAGCCUAGCACAGAGCGCCUUGCUAAUCCUAAACUAAAUAAAUAUCUAAUCUGACUCAAGACCCUAAUUUUAAGAACCCAAAUGAAGGGGGUCCCCAAAUGGCUCACCUUGUAAAAGCAUUGCCUCGUGGUGUGCAGUGUGAGUCGUACAACCAGAG